UCGUACUAUUCCAUUAAAGGACUUGGAGAUGCAUGUCAAUGAUCUUCUUCAAGAACAUUGCAAAAGAGAAACAGGAGAUGAGUGGCCCAAAAUUUCUCACAUCCAAAACAUCAAGAUCAAUAGCAAGUCUGUGCAAAAGGACUGUCAACUCCCGCUUGAUUCAGACUGACAUUCAGAGUUGGAAUGAGGACCAGGGUUUUUCAAUAAUGGCCAUCAGAUUGAAGAGGAAUUUAAAAGCUUCUUUUGUGGACGUUUGGGGUAGCUUCUUUUGUGCAUAUUACUUGAUCAUGGCAGUGAAGUGAAUUGAAAUGAUGGAAGCUAGACAUAAGGAUGAUCUUCAUACCUUAAUGACAGCAUCCAGUUCCUUCAAAACUGUUUCUGAUGCAGUUGAAAAAUAAGAUUCAUAGCAAUGUAUGCUAACCAUGUUGUGGACUGUUGCUUUAUCCCUGAGUCCCCCUUUUACCUUGAAGGAGUUGCUGGACAAUUUGGAAAUAAGCUACUCCAGUACGUGAGUCUGAGGAUAUCUCAAAAAUUAAGAUCCCUUGUAUAUGAUAUGUGCUGUUCCAAGCAAUGCAUCUAAUAAUCUCUGUUGCAUUCCACUUGUGCAGUACCUUUCAUGGUGCAAGGGCAGGGUAUACAAGCUUCACAGUUGGCUCUAUUAAUAGGAGACAUGCUUAAAUGUUUAUAUCCCGUGUAUAUGAUAUGGGCUGUUCCAAGCAAUGCAUCUAAUAAUCUCUGCUGCAUCCCCUUGUGCACAACCUUUCAUGAUGCAAGGGCAGGGUAUACAAGCUUCACUGUUGGCCCUAUUAAUAGGAGACAUGCUUACAUACAAUACCAUCCAUAAGUGUUUCAUAGCAUGGAAGAGUGCAAAGCAUGGGAAGCGACCACUAGUGGGUUGAAGGUAUUUUAAAAUGCUUUGGCUUCAUUAGUUUGAUUAAGUAACAAUAACAUAAGCUCUUUACAUGGAACAAUGUUCUUGGAAGUAAAUUGAAUUUCUUAUUGGCUUAAAGUGACUUCUUUGCUCUCUCAUGUCAACCAUGUCUCACUCAAGGAGUUCCCUAUGUAGUUUGGUUUAUUUCCUUCAAGAUAUAAGUAAUUUUCAAAACACAAGAGAAACAGAAAUACUCUAUCUCUCUUCCUCCCUUUCUUCUGUCUUAGGCAAAUUAUGUUUUUCCAGAACUCUUCCUGCCAUUUCUUUCUUUCUGUGGUGGUGUUACUUCUGAUUGAUGUUGUUACCAUUAAUAACCCCUCUAUCAAGCCACAUGAAACAAUAUCUACUUGACAAAGGAGCCUUGAGGGCAAGCACUUGGACUUAUGAGAAAGGAUUCUGAACUACCAAAGAACACAAUUGCCCAUACAAUUUGUGGAGUUCGUGCAGAGUCUGCCAGUCAUAAACUCUGGGUGCUGGUAUUGCAUAGAUUAUCUAGUAUAGUGUGAAACUAUUGGAGAGGCAUAUUUUAUAGUAGUCAAAAUUGUUGAGCAGGGAUACACCUCAAAUAACCUUGUCUUACAUUCUGAUGCAAGAUAGCUGUUUGAUAAAGCUUGAUAGGCCCUGCAUAUGUCAGAUAAAGGAAGUUUCCUUUCUCUUUGCCCUGAGUCAUUGACCUUAUUUAUAAAGCUCUAUACUCAAUUCAUUGAUGCAAAAGUGCUGAUAGAUGUAGCUCCAUUCAUAAUCAUGUAAGUAGCAUGUCAUGGAUGUCAAGAAGAAACAAUGUCAAGCAGUGACACAUGAACAGGAAAUUAGGCAAAUGCUUUGAUGUAUAUCUGUAAAUUCAUUCCAAAUAGUUUGUUGUUCAAAUGUGAAUUCCUGGAUAAAACGUUUAUUGCUAUAGGGACAGGUGUUGAUUUCAAGAGUAUGUAAAUUGCACGUGUUAGAAGCAAAAUUGAUUUGUAUAAGCAGAUGCUUUUGUUAAAUUUCAUUUUUCUGAUGGCUAA